rnacentral:rRNA from 1 species
UACGGAGGGUGCAAGCGUUAAUCGGAAUUACUGGGCGUAAAGCGCGCGUAGGCGGUUUUUUAAGUCGGAUGUGAAAGCCCCGGGCUCAACCUGGGAACUGCAUCCGAUACUGGAAGACUAGAAUGCGGGAGAGGGAGGUAGAAUUCCAUGUGUAGCAGUGAAAUGCGUAGAUAUACGGAGGAAUACCAGUGGCGAAGGCGGCCUCCUGGCUCGACAUUGACGCUGAGGUGCGAAAGCGUGGGGAGCAAACGGG